rnacentral:rRNA from 1 species
CAGUACCUCGGCACCGCCGCAGAGGCAUCCUUUGAGGGGUUUAGACCGGUAGGUUUAGCGCGAGAAGAGUCGGUACCGCCUCUGGCGCUGGCGCUGGCGAGGAGCCGGAGCGGCGGAGGAGGGCAGGCAUCGAUGCUGGUCGGCGGAGGCGGCGCUGGUGGGCGCGGUACAUCGAAGGAGUAGCGGCGAGACGAGCGGACCUCGAAGACCAGCGGCUGCCGCCGGCAGGAGUCCGUGCCGCGGAUCGAUCUGGCUGGCGCUCGCGUAGUCAGUUCGCGGAGAACCUACGUAGCCGCGGGCGCCAGCUGAGGCGGUACGGGCGGGACGACGGUACACUCAAGGAGGCGGCACAAAGGAAUAGUUGUAGACUUUGGUAAAAUUGGGCAGCUUUUUUCAACACAAAAAAUGAAGAAGAUUUUAAAACAAGAUAAAAUCAUCUGCCGUCGGCCGGACGGUAUUGUACCAGACCUUUAUCUCAUAACAACCAGCUGACUUAAGUCGAAGAUAUGUUGGUACCAGAGUACAGUUAAUAUCAUGACAUGCUAUCACACCACAGAGGUCUACGUCCGUGUACAAACUCUGACAUAAAUACGUGGAGUAGACUUAAUAGGAAGUUUUACACACGUAGGUCGUGCAUGGGAGUGUACGCUGAGGAGCGACUCAGCGACAAUGGUCACAAGAAUUAAAGAACGAAGAAACCGAUGAACGACUCUCACCUGUACACAGAUCAACCGUAGGGAACAACCGAUCGAGGACAUUGUACCUUUAUCUAUCGUAUAAGUAAGUGGUCGUCUGACGAUGAUGACGAUGAUGAGUCAACUAGACCUGCGUGAUCGUUCGUCACAGCAUGAGAAGUCACGUCCACAAGCGAAGGAAGUCUCAACCCUCACGAACGCAACGUCCUAGUUCGAGUGUUGUUACCGACCUCCCGGCAACUCGAAGACCUUACUGACCCGCAGGGUCUAGCCCCAAGAGAACUCGGAGAAGAAGGUCCAGUACGAGGUAUAGAAACGGUUGUAGGCAGCCGUAUUUCUGCGGAGUUUAACCGACUCCAAGGGGGAGACCCACCGCAUGGUCGACAGGCUGAGGUGACGCUGUAUGCGGCGGCCGGUCGAGGAGAAGUCGCCGCGUUGUUUUCUGGUGGUGGAGUAGCGGAAGACCCACGGCAAGGAGGAUGACGUGGAGCCGCCGGGCCUAUUGUAGUGGCGGAUGCGGGAGCUCCUAUCGUUCGAGACCCCCGCGGUGAACGAUUCGGAAGACCAGGUCCAGGAACCACGACCUAUACAGGAUAUGUUCGUAUAACAGCCGUCGCCCUGGAAGGAGUACCACCGACGGUAGAACUAUAGACAACAGCCACGACGUUUCAUACCCCUCUCCUGGACCCGCGAGGCCAGGCGGUUCAAGUCGUCGGAGGCCUCGAGAGAGUUCCAUGCCAGUGUACUGUAUGUAGUGGUCGUUAAAAUGUGACUCAUAGUUCUGACCAUGUUGCUACUGCUUGAUCAGGACGUCGUACGAGUGAGGGACAAAGUAUAGACGUUCGCACCCUAUCAACUAACGCACUAACGCCACCUACUGAGUCUAUCGGUCUUACUCCACCUAAGAGACCUAUCGUUUUAUUAGGUCCCGAAAAGCUUUCUGGCAGUUGUGUACACCUCCCACUACCUCUACCUCGAGAGGGAGUACAUACUAUAGGACAUGUGUUUCCGUCCGCGUCAGGUGUGAACCCAACCGAUGACGUAGGCACAGUAGAGCGGCGGGCGGUAACGGUGGAGAGAGCACAACAAGGUCAACUCGUCGUUUCUACUAAUGUCGGAUCAACUACAACGGUAGUGCAUGUGGAACAACCCACCGCGGAACAAGGACCUCUGCUUUAGCGAGGAACAGCGUGAUCCCAGUUCGACCCAGAAACGGAAGAACACAUGGUGUGUUACCCUAACCGAGGCCGUAAGACGAGACACACGACCUUCUACCGUAGCCGAAGCCGUGUGUGAAAAAAGAGAAGCGGCCAGAACCGGACCGUUCUACUAGUACUGUCAUUCGAGCUCCUCCACCAGUCCGUGGUACCCCGUCGCGUUGUACGACGCCAGAACACGGUCUGUCCACCUAGGCUACUCAGUUACGGAUCCGUUAGACAGGUUCUACGACUCGGAACCACUCACCACCCUGUCCUCCGUCAACACCUGGUAACUACAGGGACUCUUCCAGUUCUUCAUAGGUACCUCAUUACAGUGUAGUUAACUAUACUUGUGUUACCCGAACGAGUCCUGACCUACCCCGUUUUACCGUGACCUACUUCUCGUGAUGGGACCCGACAACUUCCUCAACUUACAGAAAGUACCUCAACUGAAGGUACUCUCGCAGUAGUCGACCGUGUAGCGGUGGCUGAACUAGGAACGACGUUGCCUCCCGGUAGUGCACAGACUACUACUACACCUCGAUCAGUCGCAUGACAGGUUGAUGUACUACAAGGAGGAGCACCUGAUGGGGCCGUACGAUGGUCCGGAAGGGGUUUUGACCAACAUGCUCGUUUGGACGUUUGUUGACCUCUUCUAUUCGUCAUUCGUACAACGACCAAGAGCACCGUUGUUGUAGACGUGACACGACUUCUUGAACAAGGCUGGUGUGGUAGUGGCACCGACCUUUGGAAGACUCGAACUCUUCCUCUAGCGGUAACUGUAUGACUUUCUCGACCUUCUGGGGUUGAAGUUAUUAGGAUCCGAGUCAAUACGUGCGUGAUAACGCUUAUGUGACGAAGCAUCUUUCCUUUUAUUCCAAGUCUACGACGUUUCCGACACCAACCUGAAGGACAAGAUGCGUCGGUUGGCCACGUUGUCCCUCCUCGUACGCUCCUUCGAACCGUCGCCACCACUCAACGACUGGCAGCACACCGAAAUAGUUCUUGUGGAGGUGGUUCAUUUUGUCCUGUCCUUUUUCUCCGUCUCGGGACACAUUAUGUGACAUGAUUAUGACUUACAGGCCUUUAUAGGAGUGAAAGACAUGAAACAUUCGUAUAGUAAGAAGUCAAGUCGUGGGAAACAAGAACGAGUCGAACACCAAAGGAUACUACUUAUACCGCCUCGUAUCAUACGGGUAAGUGUACGAUCGAUCGGAUCGUUACAAGGCCACUUCUUUAACACGACAUGUCCCGAAAGCAACGUUACUACUAGACGCGGGUUUUAAUACUUGUUCAAGUUUUUAUCUACGUCCAGGCCUCCAGAAUCGACACCCAUCACGUCAUAAACGCUAAAUAACCGUCGUCGUCUUUCAGUGAGGGUCAACCACAAGACACUUCAUCGUCCAAGACCGCCUCAAGGAGAUCACUGCCUCUCGAAUUCCACGUCCGUUACGCUUCCUCAAGUCGCGACCAUAGCCGAUGUCACGUGUGAAAAAGAGAACCGACCAGGACCUGACCGUUCUACUGCCACUGUCCUUCGAGCUCCUCCGCGACUCCGUGGUACCCCUUCGUGUAGCACGAGAAACAACGGUACAGUCACAUUACUCGUGGGUGUAUUAGAGAGUGUGGUAGAUAAGGUGAGACCGUAUCGACUACCAUUCGGGAGGAGACGAGGGAGAGUACGGGACGAACGAACGAACGCUCGGCACCAUUUAAGACUUAAACCAGCAAACGAAAGAAAGAAGUCGUCCGGUUCUUUGUCCCUCACGGCUGUCAUCAUGAACAUAGACGUCAAAGUCAGUGACGAACGAUAAAAGUCAUCGAUCUAUUCAAGUCAAGUCAACUAAGUCAGUGACGAAUAAAGAAGCCCAUCGAUUAGUCAAGUCAAAUCAACAAGACGUGCAGUUGACUUAGCCGGUCUUCACUCAACGCAAGAGCGACGCCGCAACGCAUAAAGUCUCCAGAUCUCACAUCUAGUGUCGGAGUUUUGAUUGUAUCAACUCGUCAUGGGUUUAGUUUUAGUUUCUCAAACAUGACCAUUUGAGGUAAGACAUUUAGUUCG